rnacentral:tRNA from 1 species
GCAGGCAUAGGGGAGUCAGGCCGUCCCCGCCACCCUGUCACGGUGGAGAUCGCGGGUUCAAAUCCCGCUGUCCGCG